UACAGAGACUGCAAGCGUUAUUCGGAUUCACUGGGCGUAAAGGGUGCGCAGGCGCCAAGUGUGUCAGGUGUGAAAUCCCGGAGCUUAACUCCGGAACUGCGCCUGAAACUACUUGGCUAGAGCAUUGGAGAGGGAAGUGGAAUUCACGGUGUAGCAGUGAAAUGCGUAGAUAUCGUGAGGAACACCAGAGGCGGAGGCGACUUCCUGGACAAUUGCUGACGCUCAGGCACGGAAAGCGUGGGGAGCAAACAGG
rnacentral:rRNA from 1 species